GAUGAACGCUGGCGGCGUGCCUAAUACAUGCAAGUCGAGCGAACGGACGAGAAGCUUGCUCCUCUGAUGUUAGCGGCGGACGGGUGAGUCACACGUGGAUAACCUACCUAUAAGACUGGGAUAACUUCGGGAAACCGGAGCUACUACCGGAUGAUAUUUUGAACCGCAUGGUUCAAAAGUGAAAGACGGUCUUGCUGUCACUUAUAGAUGGCUCAGCACUUCAUUAGCUAGUUGGUGAGGUAACGGCUUACCAAGGCAACGAUGCAUAGCCGACCUGAGAGGGUGGUCGGCCAGACUGGAACUGAGACACGGUCCAGACACCUACGGGAAGAAGCAGUAGGGAAUCUUCCGCGAUGGGCGAGAGCCUGACGGAGCAACGCCGCGUGAAUGAUGAAGGUCUUCGGAUCGUAAAACUCUGUUAUUAGUGAAGAACAUAUGUGUAAGUAACUGUGCACAUCUUGACGGUACCGAGUCAAAAAGCCACGGCUAACUCCGUG
rnacentral:rRNA from 1 species